rnacentral:lncRNA from 1 species
AUGGAAACAAAUUCUCUGAAGUUUAUUUUGAUGACAAUUUUCAUCUUUGCCAUGGCUCUUUCUCCAACUUUACCAUGUGAUGCUGCACGCGAUUUAGUAGCAGUUAAUAAGGUGAUAUGUAUUCAGUGUGUGUGUUGCACUCCACCACCACCAGGAACUUGCUGCAAGAAGUGUUGUGCUUCUUCUUCUCCACCUCAAACUCAGACCAUUGGACAAUCUCCAUAA